rnacentral:tRNA from 1 species
GCGCAUGGCUGCGGGGGGGUCGGCAUCCACCGAUCCGAAGUUCCCCUGCCCGUCAAUGAGGGGAUAGCGCAGGUUGAAAUCCUGCGCCAUGCGCACCA